UGGGUUAUGGCUCAGCGGUAGAGUGCUCGCCUUGCAUGUGUGAGGCCUUGGGUUCGAUCCUCAGCACCACAU
rfam:Ictidomys tridecemlineatus contig045639, whole genome shotgun sequence.